AGCGAACGCUGGCAGCGUGCUUAACACAUGCAAGUCGAACGUGAACGGGAGCAAUCCUAAGUAAAGUGGCGCACGGGUGAAUAACGCGUAGAUAAUCUACCCCAAAAUCUGGAAUAACCUGCCGAAAGGCGGGCUAAUACUGGAUAGAGCGACGGAAUCCGUAAUUGGGUUUUUCGGGAAAGGGAGACAGCAAUGCCCCUCGUUUUGGGAUGAUUCUGCGUCUCAUUAGCUAGUUGGUGGGGUAAAGGCCCACCAAGGCUUUGAUGGGUAGCUGGUCUGAGAGGAUGAUCAGCCACACUGGAACUGAAACACGGUCCAGACUCCUACGGGAGGCAGCAGUGGGGAAUCUUGCGCAAUGGACGAAAGUCUGACGCAGCAACGCCGCGUGAGUGAAGAAGGCCUUCGGGUUGUAAAGCUCUGUCGAGCGGGACGAAAAAUUAUUGGGUGAAUAGCCCAGUAAUCUGACGGUACCGCUAAAGGAAGCACCGGCUAACUCCGUGCCAGCAGCCGCAGUAACAC
rnacentral:rRNA from 1 species